GGUUAUUAGAUUUAUUAAUAAUUUUGCCUGCCCAAUGAGUUUUGAAUGGCUGCGGUAUCUUGACUGUACUAAGGUAGCAUAAUAAAUAGUCUUUUUAUUGAAGACUUGUAUGAAAGGUAAUUACUGGGAUGAAGGUUUUUAAAUAUAAUUUUGAAUUUUAAUUACAAUUAAGAAUGUUUGUAUUAAUCUUAGGGACGAGAAGACCCUAAGAGCUUGAAAUUGAAGUUUUUUAUUGGGGUGAUGAAUGAAGAUAUUGAUCUUUAUUAAGAAGAAGUUACCUUAGGGAUAACAGCGUUAUUUAUUUGGAGAGUUCUUAUUAAGAAAUAGUGUUUGCGACCUCGAUGUUGAAUUAAAUUAAAUGUUGGAUGAAGGGGUUUAUGACAUUGGAGUCUGUUCGACUGAUUAGAUUUUACA
rnacentral:rRNA from 2 species